GGAGGAAAUUCCACUCCUGACGACCGACUUCGAGCCAAGAUGCAGCAAG
rnacentral:SRP_RNA from 1 species